GAUGAACGCUGGCGGCGUGCCUAAUACAUGCAAGUCGAGCGAACGGAUAAGGAGCUUGCUCCUUUGAAGUUAGCGGCGGACGGGUGAGUAACACGUGGGUAACCUACCUAUAAGACUGGAAUAACUUCGGGAAACCGGAGCUAAUGCCGGAUAACAUUUGGAACUGCAUGGUUCUAAAGUAAAAGAUGGUUUUGCUAUCACUUAUAGAUGGACCCGCGCCGUAUUAGCUAGUUGGUAAGGUAACGGCUUACCGAGGCAACGAUACGUAGCCGACCUGAGAGGGUGAUCGGCCACACUGGAACUGAGACACGGUCCAGACUCCUACGGGAGGCAGCAGUAGGGAAUCUUCCGCAAUGGACGAAAGUCUGACGGGGCAACGCCGCGUGAGUGAUGAAGAUUUUCGGAUCGUAAAACUCUGUUAUUAGGGAAGAACAAAUGUGUAAGUAACUGUGCACAUCUUGACGGUACCUAAUCAGAAAGCCACGGCUAACUACGUGCCAGCCGCCGCAGUAA
rnacentral:rRNA from 1 species